ACUCACUUUCACUGAAUCUAAUGCUUUUGAUUUUUCUUCAAGUGUAACUGUUAUUCCUGCAUGCAUAAAUUCUAUUAGCACUAUGCAUGGCAGGAUGAGCUUUGACAGCUAAGCACAAGUUGACCUUCCUAAUAAAACACACAAUCAUAGAAU